rnacentral:lncRNA from 1 species
AAAUGUAAAAAAUCAUUAAGUGAAAAUGAGAACAUAUCUUGCAUUAUUAACUAAUAUAAAAAAAAAUCUUGCAUUAUUAACUGAAAUAUACAUGUUAGCAUAAUAGAAAAUGUGGACAGAAUGUGAUGUACUAAAGUGUGUAAAAGAUAAUCUUUUACAUAAGUUAGCAUAAUAGAAAAUACGGACAUUUUUACUCCUCUCUCUUGUUCAUAUUCCUAUUUUAUAUACUUCCUCUUGAUUUUCCGCUUCGAUGUAAUGUACCAUAGACAAAGACACAAAAAAGUAACAAAGAAAAAAAUGAAGAAAGAGAGAAUCAGAGAAAAUAACGGGAUAUUGAAAAAUAAUGAUUUAAAAAAAUAACAAAGAAAGUUGAAAUUGGAGUAAAUAUGCAUUGGUGAAAAAAUGAACUAACUUGAUAUGUUUCUUUCAUUUUACCUUUUGUCCUCUUAUAUCUUUGAUUGUGUGACAUGUUUCCGGUUUGUAUCCCUCUUUCAUGCCAUCACUAUAAACAUAUUGUUAUUAACCAAA